CCACAUCAGAAUCUUCAUCCUCAGUGCUCUCAUCUUCAUCAUCUGCCUUGGCAUCUUUACUAGGUUCCACAAUCUUAACCUUCUGCUUACCUGAAGCAGAAUCCUUUGCAGCAUUAGACUUCUCUGCCUCCUUAACCUUAGCCUCAGGUUUCCCUAAAGUCAGUUAACCAAGUAGAUAAUAAUAUUAGGAAAUAAAAAGGUAUGUUGCAUUUGUAAAAUCUGAAUUAGCUUCAGGUUUCCCUAAAACCAGUUAACCAAGUAGAUAAUAUUAUUAGGAAAUAAAAAGGUAUGUUGCAUUUGUAAAAUUGACAUA
rnacentral:lncRNA from 1 species